AAAAGUUGUCAUAAGCUGGCUAACUGUGAUAACUCUGUAGGCAUUACUUCGAACAAGCGAAAAACCGAAACCGAAAUGAAAGCCCUUCUACGAGUGAUUAGCCUAGUCGUGAUUAGCGUGGUGGUGAUUAUUAUCACACCUUGCGGGGCUUCGCUUGGAGAAAGAAAGGCUUAGAAAUCAAGUCUGAAUUCACAAAAAACCCCCGCACCGAAAGGUCCGGGGGUUUUUUUUCGACCAGACGUAAUGUCAGCGAAUGAGAGAGGAAUAAAGAAUGAACAGUAGCAUAAAAUGCUGUUGUUCCCAGCGAGAG
rfam:Erwinia iniecta strain B120 contig000022, whole genome shotgun sequence.